rnacentral:lncRNA from 1 species
CAGCGGAAUCGAGAGGCCAGAGAAAUCACCGUCUCUGGCGAUAGCAGAGAAAUCAUCAUUCCGCUGGCGACCCAUUCCGCUGGCGACUCAUUUCUCUGGCGAGGUCAGAGAAAUCAUCCAUUCCUCUGGCGUGACCCGUUACCCUGGUGACACUCAUUCCUCUGGCGAGAGCUGCGAAUUCGGCAAGUGUGGGAGUAUUUUCCGGAGCGAGCAUCCAGCUGGAGAGUUGCCUUAUUUCACACGAUUCUAUUACCUUUAGAAUUCUACUUUGCAUGGCAACUUCCAUGUUGAUCCGAAGGAAAUCUGAAAACUAUAAAUAGGUCCUCUUUAGACCUAUUCAGGGACCCCGAACCCAGCAUUCGUAUUACAGUUUUAUAGCGUUAGAAUUUUAUUGCUUUUCUAGUUUUCAAGGCUUGGAUCAAGAUUGAAGAUUCAAGCCGCUACUUCAGUUUUCAUUCGGUUUUUAUACAAUUCGUUUUUACAAUUGCGU